GACGAACGCUGGCGGCGUGCCUAAUACAUGCAAGUAGAACGCUGAAGGAGGAGCUUGCUUCUCUGGAUGAGUUGCGAACGGGUGAGUAACGCGUAGGUAACCUGCCUGGUAGCGGGGGAUAACUAUUGGAAACGAUAGCUAAUACCGCAUAAGAGUGGAUGUUGCAUGACAUUUGCUUAAAAGGUGCACUUGCAUCACUACCAGAUGGACCUGCGUUGUAUUAGCUAGUUGGUGGGGUAACGGCUCACCAAGGCGACGAUACAUAGCCGACCUGAGAGGGUGAUCGGCCACACUGGGACUGAGACACGGCCCAGACUCCUACGGGAGGCAGCAGUAGGGAAUCUUCGGCAAUGGACGGAAGUCUGACCGAGCAACGCCGCGUGAGUGAAGAAGGUUUUCGGAUCGUAAAGCUCUGUUGUAAGAGAAGAACGAGUGUGAGAGUGGAAAGUUCACACUGUGACGGUAUCUUACCAGAAAGGGACGGCUAACUACGUGCCAGCAGCCGCGGUAAUACGUAGGUCCCGAGCGUUGUCCGGAUUUAUUGGGCGUAAAGCGAGCGCAGGCGGUUAGAUAAGUCUGAAGUUAAAGACUGUGGCUUAACCAUAGUAGGCUUUGGAAACUGUUUAACUUGAGUGCAAGAGGGGAGAGUGGAAUUCCAUGUGUAGCGGUGAAAUGCGUAGAUAUAUGGAGGAACACCGGUGGCGAAAGCGGCUCUCUGGCUUGUAACUGACGCUGAGGCUCGAAAGCGUGGGGAGCAAACAGGAUUAGAUACCCUGGUAGUCCACGCUGUAAACGAUGAGUGCUAGGUGUUAGACCCUUUCCGGGGUUUAGUGCCGUAGCUAACGCAUUAAGCACUCCGCCUGGGGAGUACGACCGCAAGGUUGAAACUCAAAGGAAUUGACGGGGGCCCGCACAAGCGGUGGAGCAUGUGGUUUAAUUCGAAGCAACGCGAAGAACCUUACCAGGUCUUGACAUCCCUCUGACCGCUCUAGAGAUAGAGUUUUCCUUCGGGACAGAGGUGACAGGUGGUGCAUGGUUGUCGUCAGCUCGUGUCGUGAGAUGUUGGGUCAAGUCCCGCAACGAGCGCAACCCCUAUUGUUAGUUGCCAUCAUUCAGUUGGGCACUCUAGCGAGACUGCCGGUAAUAAACCGGAGGAAGGUGGGGAUGACGUCAAAUCAUCAUGCCCCUUAUGACCUGGGCUACACACGUGCUACAAUGGCUGGUACAACGAGUCGCAAGCCGGUGACGGCAAGCUAAUCUCUUAAAGCCAGUCUCAGUUCGGAUUGUAGGCUGCAACUCGCCUACAUGAAGUCGGAAUCGCUAGUAAUCGCGGAUCAGCACGCCGCGGUGAAUACGUUCCCGGGCCU
rnacentral:rRNA from 1 species